UAGUCAUAUGCUUGUCUCAAAGAUUAAGCCAUGCAUGUCCAAGUAUAAAGAUUUUAUAUCUUGAAACUGCGAACGGCUCAUUAAAUCAGUUAUAAUCUACUUGAUUGUAAAAUCUACAUGGAUAACUGUAGUAAUUCUAGAGCUAAUACAUGCAAAAAGUCCCGACUAUUAUGGAAGGGAUGUAUUUAUUAGGUACAAAAUCAAUGCUGGCACUUGUGUCAGGUAUUAAUUGAUGAUUCAUAAUAACUAAACGAAGCGCACGACCUUGUGUUGGCG
rnacentral:rRNA from 1 species